UACGUAAGAGACUAGUGUUAUUCAUCAUAAUUAGGUUUAAAGGGCUCGUAGGCGGCCAACUAAGUCAGACGUGAAAUCCCUCGGCUUAACCGGGGAACUGCGUCUGAUACUGGAUGGCUUGAGUUCGGGAGAGGGAUGCGGAAUUCCAGGUGUAGCGGUGAAAUGCGUAGAUAUCUGGAGGAACACCGGUGGCGAAGGCGGCAUCCUGGACCGACACUGACGCUGAUACGCGAAAGCGUGGGGAUCAAACAGG
rnacentral:rRNA from 1 species